GGAUGAAGCAGCCCUCUGGGCUGGCGGUGGUCACCUGCAGCACCUUCUGACCGUGGUACAGCAGCACCACCUCCAUACGGACAUCUGUGAACACGUGACAGCCGGCCGGUCAACACCCACGGCGCCGCUGACCUCAGCUCUAACUUCCAGACCUUGAACAGAGCCGCGUCCUCCAUCUGGUUGUAGUCCUUCUUGGCUGCGUGUUUCCAGGGGAUCCUGAACAUGGUCUUGUCCUCGUCCUCCCAGCACAGACCCUCGAAGCUGCCGCUCUCGAUCUGGCGGAGCAGCCACUCCUUCAGGUGCAGCUUGGCUCCUUCCACCAUCUUCACCGCACGCCUGGCUCCGCUGCAGCCAGCCUCAGGACUCUGUGGUGGUCCAUUAGUUCCCACAUGUGUGGCUCACAUUUGAAGCGAUCCAAAGCGACUGUUUCUCAUCAUCCAGUUAGAGACCGCUGGUAUCCAGUGUUCCAAACAGACCCAUUUGGACCAUGUGUUGUGGCGCUGGUUGCCCAACAGCGCGCUGCAGAUGUUGUUCUGCCAUAAAAGCCAGCGCCGCUCUACCUCGGAGCGGGAACUGCUCUGGAAGGACUGAGUAAAUAAACAGAGACGGUGGAGCGACACCGACUGACUGAGGGGAAACUGGGCCGAGCGGAGGUGAGCGCCACCUGUGUUCACACUGUAGAAAUACCAUUCUACACAUGGUAUUUGUUUAUAAUCUGUCUCCUCCAGGAUGACCUUUGACACCAGGUCACAACCUUUGUCUGGACUGAGGACUGAAAUCCGCUGGAUCAGAACCUCCUGAUGGUCCUCGGACCAAAGGACCAGUUUGGUGGUGAAUCCAGACCCUGAGGUGGGUGCCGACUGACUGCGGGGCGUCCCUUGCGCCUGUCUGUACACGCUCGGCUGCUUCCACCCGAUCUCACACACAAAAACACACUCAUGAAUGCAGGCCACACCCACAACAUGAAAGAAGUCUGUUUUUGUUGCAGCAACAUGUAACGUCCUGCCCCCGUGUGACGGAGAAUUUCUCUCUUCGACGUCGACUCCUGCUCUGAUCUUAUCCAUGUUUUGUUACGCCUGGUCGAUAAUGAUGCUGAGGGUACGACAACUGACGGACGGAGACGGAUUAGAGCGGAGAAGAAACUGAAUUUACUCUGUGAUGAUUCGUUGUUGUUGCUGUGAUGACAGCUUUGAAACUGUUAUCACAAAGUCACGUUCAUGUUCAGUAGAUGUUUUAGAAACGGAUUCUUAACAUCAUUAAAUGUACAAUAACUGUUUUUUUUUAUUACGACACAUAUAUAGACCUAUAAAUAUACGACUUUUCACUACUCUACGCUGAUGACACUCUGUUAGUCAACCAUCAGAAUAUUCCAGAUUUCAAACUUUUGUUUGUUUGACCUCAACCUGUAAUUAUUUCACAUCAGUGAAACGAUACUUUUGUUUGAUCGGGUCGUUGACGUCAUGUAUGUAACCU